rnacentral:lncRNA from 1 species
UUAGCUCCUUUAAUUUAAUUUGAAGAAAAAUUAGAGGCUAAAAAUGGCGGAAAGAUCAGUAACAUUCAUGAGAAUAAUAUUGGUGACAAUGUGGCUAUUGAUGCUUACACAACCAAUAAGAGCUAAUCUUAAGUGUUGUCAAAAAUGCGCUAUUACCUGUAGAACCAUAGGAGGAAUCAACUUUACAUGCUUGCAUAAUUGUCUUUCAAAAUGUGGCGGAUGCAAUACCUCCCCAAUUCCAGGUAGAUCUUCAUAUCUCUAUAAUAUAUUUCUGUAAUAUAUAUAUUGUGUGUUUAUACAUUCAUUCAGAUAUAAACUCAACUUUUAAUAUAUAUAUAUAUAAAUUGUAGGUGGUUAUGGUUAAACAUAAUAUUUAAAUUCAACUCAAUUUGUUGUAAUUUAAAUUUUUUUGUGAUUUGUAUCACGUGAUGUAAUUUAAUUUUUCUAUAUUGAAUAUUGCAGGUGUGGAAGAUGAAGAAGGAACUUUCAAAAUAAACACAUGAUAUUAGUUUAAAAUAAUUCAUGAAGUAUUAGUACUUGAUAGAUAUCGGUUAUAAUAAAUUUUGUUUGAUAUUUAUGUUUUUGGUGAAAGCCUUUAUUUGGCAAUGGAACAU